UCCGAAAUGGUGUAGUGGCUAACAUUAUCGCCUCUCACGCGAUAGCCCGGGGUUCGAUUCCCCGUUUCGGAA
rnacentral:tRNA from 1 species